AUUGAACGCUGGCGGAAUGCUUUACACAUGCAAGUCGAACGGCAGCACGGGUGCUAGCACCUGGUGGCGAGUGGCGAACGGGUGAGUAAUACAUCGGAACGUACCCAGUCGUGGGGGAUAACUAACCGAAAGGUUAGCUAAUACCGCAUACGUCCUGAGGGAGAAAGCGGGGGACCGUAAGGCCUCGCGCGAUUGGAGCGGCCGAUGUCUGAUUAGCUAGUUGGUGAGGUAAAGGCUCACCAAGGCGACGAUCAGUAGCAGGUCUGAGAGGAUGAUCUGCCACACUGGAACUGAGACACGGUCCAGACUCCUACGGGAGGCAGCAGUGGGGAAUUUUGGACAAUGGGGGAAACCCUGAUCCAGCCAUUCCGCGUGAGUGAAGAAGGCCUCGGUGUAAGCUCUUCGUCAGGAGAACGACGUCUGGAAUAAUAACU
rnacentral:rRNA from 1 species